rnacentral:tRNA from 1 species
UCCCUAGUAGCUCAGAUGGUAAAGCAUCUGCCUGCAACAUAGGAGACCUGGGUUCAAUCCCUGGGUAGGGAA